CUCACUCCCAUCCAUACACUCACCCUCUCUCACACACCCAACCUCCCACCUUUAAUGUGUGUGGAUGGGACUAAGGUUUUCUCAUUUCUUUCAGAUUGUGCGCCUCCGAGGUGAACGUCUGACUGAAGUGAACUUGUGGCUGGUCGAGAACUCCUCCAAACAGGUAAAGUACUUAUGACAAUAUAUAAUGUCUAUAUGCAAGUAUUUAUGAAUGUUAUGUUUUAAAGUUUUUUGUAUUCCAGGUUUGUUUGUGUGGCUGACUGGACCUACUACAAGGUGCUUCUUGGAGGUAAUAAAGAUACAUCAGUGAUGGUGAGGCCGUCACAUUAUCAGCCGUUGUGGAUUUUUCAAUUCAACCUUUAUAUUGCAAACUCCACAUAAGGUAAAACACUUCCAUUCAGCAAUUGGUGUGCAGUGUCCAGAUUGUCAACAUUUAGUUCAGUAUGAUGUUACUUCUGGCCAGCUUAACCUGAGGAGAAAGUCAGUACAGUACACGAUUAGAUUUUGAAAAGGAAACUGCAAAGUACACAAGCUAUUGAUU
rnacentral:lncRNA from 1 species